UUGGAGAUGAGUGGGCACAGCAGAG
rnacentral:piRNA from 1 species